GGCUCAAUGGUCUAGUAGUAUGAUUCCUGCUUCGGGUUUUCAACGCCCGCAUGGGAUCUUCCCACGCCACAACCUGCAGGAGGUCUCGGGUUCAAUUCCCGAUUGAGCCC